rnacentral:rRNA from 1 species
AACGAACGCUGGCGGCGUGUUUAAGACAUGCAAGUCGCACGGGACUAUUUGAGUAGCAAUACAAGGAUAGUCUAGUGGCGCACGGGUGAGUAACACGUGAAUUACAUGCCCUGCAGAGGGGGAUAGCCCAGGGAAACUUGGAUUAAUACCCCAUGGUAUCGCGAGAUUAAAGGUGGCCGCAAGGCUGUCGCUGCAGGAUUGGUUCGCGCCCUAUCAGCUCGUUGGUGAGGUAACGGCUCACCAAGGCUACGACGGGUACCUGGUCUGAGAGGACGAUCAGGCACACUGGAACUGAGACACGGUCCAGACACCUACGGGUGGCAGCAGUCGAGAAUAAUUCACAAUGGGGGCAACCCUGAUGGUGCAACGCCGCGUGGAGGAUGAAGGUCUUCGGAUUGUAAACUCCUGUCAUCCGGGAGUAAGACCUGGCGAUGAAUAGUCGACAGGGUUGAUAGUACCGGAAGAGGAAGGGACGGCUAACUUCGUGCCAGCAGCCGCCGUAA